AGCGAACGCUGGCGGCAGGCCUAACACAUGCAAGUCGAACGAACUCUUCGGAGUUAGUGGCGGACGGGUGAGUAACACGUGGGAACGUGCCUUUUGGUUCGGAAUAACUCAGGGAAACUUGUGCUAAUACCGAAUGUGCCCUUCGGGGGAAAGAUUAUCGCCAUUAGAGCGGCCCGCGUCUGAUUAGCUAGUUGGUGAGGUAACGGCUCACCAAGGCGACGAUCAGUAGCUGGUCUGAGAGGAUGACCAGCCACACUGGGACUGAGACACGGCCCAGACUCCUACGGGAGGCAGCAGUGGGGAAUCUUGCGCAAUGGGCGAAAGCCUGACGCAGCCAUGCCGCGUGAAUGAUGAAGGUCUUAGGAUUGUAAAAUUCUUUCACCGGGGACGAUAAUGACGGUACCCGGAGAAGAAGCCCCGGCUAACUUCGUG
rnacentral:rRNA from 1 species